UGGGGGAUAUUGCACAAUGGGCGAAAGCCUGAUGCAGCGACGCCGCGUGGGGGAUGAAGGCUUUCGGGUUGUAAACCUCUUUCGCUAUCGAACAAGGCCCGCUUAGGGUGGGUUGAGGGUAGGUGGAGAAGAAGCGCCGGCUAACUACGUGCCAGCAGCCGCGGUAAUACGUAGGGCGCGAGCGUUGUCCGGAAUUAUUGGGCGUAAAGGGCUUGUAGGCGGCUUGUUGCGCCUGCUGUGAAAACGCGGGGCUUAACUUCGCGCGUGCAGUGGGUACGGGCAGGCUUGAGUGUGGUAGGGGUGACUGGAAUUCCAGGUGUAGCGGUGGAAUGCGCAGAUAUCAGGAGGAACACCGGUGGCGAAGGCGGGUCUCUGGGCCGUUACUGACGCUGAGGAGCGAAAGCGUGGGGAGCGAACAGG
rnacentral:rRNA from 1 species